rnacentral:rRNA from 1 species
UACGGAGGAUGCAAGCGUUAUCCGGAAUGAUUGGGCGUAAAGCGUCCGCAGGUGGCUGUGUAAGUCUGCUGUCAAAGAGCGAAGCUCAACUUCGUAAAGGCAGUGGAAACUACACGGCUAGAGUGCGUUCGGGGCAGAGGGAAUUCCUGGUGUAGCGGUGAAAUGCGUAGAGAUCGGGAAGAACACCCGUGGCGAAGGCGGCCAGCUGGGACACAACUGACGCUGAGGCACGAAGGCGUGGGGAGCGAACGGG